UCUUAUAAAUGAGCAAAGGCAGUAGUUUCUUGAGAUGGAAUCUACUCCUGGUGAAGAUGCUAUGCA
rnacentral:pre_miRNA from 1 species